rnacentral:rRNA from 1 species
GAGUUUGAUCCUGGCUCAGGAUGAACGCUGGCGGCGUGCCUAACACAUGCAAGUCGAGCGAUCUUCUUCGGAAGAGAGCGGCGGACGGGUGAGUAACGCGUGGGUAACCUGCCUCAUACACAUGGAUAACAUACCGAAAGGUAUGCUAAUACAAGAUGAUAUGAGAGAUUCGCAUGGAUUUUUUAUCAAAGCUCCGGCGGUAUGAGAUGGACCCGCGUCUGAUUAGCUAGUUGGUAAGGUAACGGCUUACCAAGGCGACGAUCAGUAGCCGACCUGAGAGGGUGAUCGGCCACAUUGGAACUGAGACACGGUCCAAACUCCUACGGGAGGCAGCAGUGGGGAAUAUUGCACAAUGGGCGAAAGCCUGAUGCAGCAACGCCGCGUGAGCGAUGAAGGCCCUCGGGUCGUAAAGCCCUGUCCUCAAGGAAGAUAGUGACGGUACUUGAGGAGGAAGCCCCGGCUAACUACGUGCCAGCAGCCGCGGUCA